rnacentral:misc_RNA from 1 species
CAGGAUUAGUAGACUGGAAGUCUGGGUCCUCUGAAUCAUCAUCAACACACCUUGCCAUGCCAAAAUUCCCAAUUUUUGCGUUGAAUUCUUCAUCUAAGAAGAUGUUUCGGCUCUUCACAUUUCUGUGAAGAUAGCUUGGCUUCAUGAUAUGAUGCAUGUACCGUAAGGCCAUUGCUACUUCAAGACAUAUCUUCAGCCUCUGAUUCCAUGUCAAGAAACAAUCGCAGGAGGCUAUGAACUGGUUCUUCA